UGUGGCUCAAUGGUGGAGCGCUUGCCUAGCAUGUGUGAGGUCCUGGGUUCAAAUCCCAGUA
rnacentral:tRNA from 1 species